AUGGGUCAGCUUGUUGAUGUCAGGAAGCAUGAGAGUGAACAAUGGCGGAUCAAGGAAGUGGAAUGGCAGAGAAGGACCACCCACAACCAUGUAGGACAGAGGAGGGGAAGGAGAAGACAACCAAGGGAGGCAAAGAAGGAGAGGCAGCUGUUGCCGUUGCCUAGGAAACCUCGGAGCUGGAUAAAUCCCAACGCGGUGGAUCAGCCAUUCAGGUCCCAGCGUUUAGAGUUGCUUUCUCAAGAUUAAAGAAAACAGACAAGCACGGAACAAAUGUUUCCAGUUGAGAGAAAGCAAAAAAAUCUACAUGUAAAGGACAGAUAGAAUGACCGUGGUUUGUAUCUGUCUUAUGGAACUACCCCUUCCAGACUAAAUGAGGUGAAGAGAAAUUACCUUGCAGACAAUCAAGGUGACAGGACCUACUGCAACAGAACCUCAUUACCCAAGGAUUUCCCUUCGACGCUAAUGAGGAGACCAGCCCUGUAUCCACAUUUAAAGGGGGCAGGGGAAUGAUGGUCCAUUUUGCAGGCUGGAACUGUUCAACAGGGAUGGUCGGGCAAUCAUGGUCAACCAACAAAGCAAGGUACUUCAUUAAAACUUACUUUAAAGGCAACAGGGACUCUAUCUUUCAAUAAAAGCUGUCACAGAUGAUCA
rnacentral:lncRNA from 1 species